UGCAUCAACAUAAAAGUAGAGAAUUACAAGAAUUAAAUGCUAAACUAGAGAGAGGAGAUGUAGAAAAAGAAGAAUUACAAAAGGAAAAGUAAAUCAAAUCAUAAAAUUAACCUAGAUCUAAGAGAUUCUAAUCUAGAUCUAACCUAAUCCUAAUUCUAGAGAGAAGUGAGAGCUUCUCUCUCUAAAACUAACUUUCCCUCCAAAAACUAGACUAAAACUAAAAUAUGAUAACUAGACCUGUGAUUCCCCUUCAGUCCUUGGGUUAAAUAGCAUCAGAGAUCAGUUGGAUUUGGGCCUGGGAAGCCCAAAAAUCGCCCUCAGCGGAUUCACUUUAAGUGGGUCACGUGCGAACAUCGACGCAUACGCGCACGUCAGGCGUACGCGUCGCUUGACAAUUUUCCAUCCAAGCGUACGCGUCGUGUCCGCGUACGCGUCGCCUUGCGACCACGUCAUUUCACGCGUGCGCGUCUGCUGCGGGUGCGCGUGGAGUGAAUUUCUCCCAAUCUCUGAUUUUUCAUGAUUUCUCCACUUUGCAUGCUUUCCUCUCCAUUCCUUUGAUCCAUUCCUAGCCUUUUCAACCUGAAAUCACUAACACACACAUCAAGGCAUCUAGUGGAAUCAAAGGUGAAUUAAAAUCAUCAAAUUAAAGGUCUAAAAAGUAUGUUUUCACACUUAAGCACAAUUUAGGAGCCAAUCAUAAAACCAUGCUAUUUCAUUGAAUAAAUGUGUGUAAAAGGUCAUAAAAUCCUCCAAAUUAAGCACAAGAUAAACCCUAAAAAUGGGGUUUAUCAACCUCCCCACACUUAAACCAAGCAUGUCCUCAUGCUUAAACCAAGAGAGAAACAAAGGGUAUCAACAUUUAUUCAAUGUAAAUAAACUAUAUGCAACCUAAACUAUAUGCAACUAUCUACAUGAAUGCAAUUGCUUGGUCAAAAUAAAUCAAUUCCCAAGAAUAUCAAUAUAAGCACAAGGGCUAAAGGUAUUAAUCAACCAAGCCAAACCACAAUUGAAUUGAGCUAUUAAAGAUUUUAUAAACUUGCAAGAAGAGUGAUGAUUAUAGGUGAAAACAUGUAAAUGAAUAAGCCUUAAAUGAAAUUCAAUUUGACCAUAAACUUUGAUUUCUUUUAAAUUGGAGCCUCUUUUGCAUACUCUCACAAGGUUGAAGAUUUUUUUUUACCUAUGUGGCUAAUUUGAUUCAUCUUUUUCAUGCCUAAACUACCUUAAGUCACAUAGAGCAUAAACUUUUAAAUUCUUAUCUCAACUUUGUGAUUUUCAUGCUUCAUGGCAUUUUGGUGUUUGAAUGUUCCUUGAUUAUCUUGUUCAUCAAGGUUUUACUUUUGUUAACACCAAAAUGUCCUACCUUGUGCAAAGUGAAUGUGCCCAAUUAUUCUUUGAUUAUGUGCUCUACACAUACAUUUGCGUUACUUGUUUUCGCAUCUUGAAUUGUUGAGAAGUGAAUAUAAACUUGCUUGUUUUGAAACUUUGGAAACUUUUUGGAAUUAAGGAACGUUUUACGAUGCACUUAACAUUUGACUUUUCUUCCCUUUUUCAACUAACUUUUUCUUUUUCUUCAUAUAAAUUUUAACCUUUGUUUUUCUUUUUCAACUAACUAUUUUUUUUUCCUUCACCUAACUCUUAACCUUUCCUUUUCUUUUUCAACUAAUUUUUUUUCUCUUCACUUAACUUUUAACUUUCUUUUUCCUUUUUAACUAACAUUACUUUUAACUUUUUAACUGUUUUCUUUUUCUUCGUGCAUAGUAACAACGCUCCCCUCUUCUCUUUAUAUUUGAUAAACAAGCAAGUUAGCUAUCUUAGAUUACUUAAUUUGAUUGGAAGUUACUUCUAUUUUCUUUUAACUUGAAUCUCAUGUAUGCUUCCAUUCAAAUUUAUUUUAUUUGUUCACUUCAUAUAUAUGCUGUUUUGUGGCUUAGUCCUCUGCUUUAUAGCACCACCAUCGUUCUUGCAGCCACUCCAUCCAAGCAUUCUGCGGAGGAGGAAGCCCAACAUCAUGAGCCGGAGGAGGCAAGAGACCCACCAGCUGAAGGUGGAGGCGACGCCGUGACGACUCCUUCCACUCCGCAUGAUCUUGAGCACCGAGGAUGGUGCUACAUCUUAAGUGUGGGGAGGUUGUCCAACUUCAGCAGCGCAUUUUGGGUAAAAAAUUUCAUUUCCGAACACUUUUAGUUUAGUUUCUUAUUAUGCUUUUUAGUUGCUUUGUAUAUAUUUCAUCUUUUUGAAAACCUUUUUACUAAUUUAGUACUUUUUACUUAGUUCAUUGCACCUUUUAAUUUUGUUUAUACAUAGCCUAGUAUUAUAUUGUAGUUAUACAUGUUUUUAGAUUUUUUUUUUUUUAGCCUUUAGUUAUGAUUGUGAUUUGAAUGAUGUGAUGAUUGCACCUAGUUUGAUUUCCUAUACACUUGCUAUUUUGGUUUGAUUGAAAUUAAGAAUUAAACUUAGGAUUUUUGACAUUUUCCAUCCAAUCACAUUAUAUAUACAUAUAUAAAAUAAAUGCUAGUCAAUUUAAUGAAAUUUCUAAAAAACUUACUUUUUAUAUAGGGCAUUGAAAUUCAAAUUGA
rnacentral:lncRNA from 1 species